GGACCGCGGGGCGCUAACUGCAGUCGACGGGUGUCCUUCGGGGCACCAGUGGCGGACGGGUGCGUAACACGUAAGCGACCUGCCUUCAGGUGGGGGAUAACCCCGGGAAACCGGGGCUAAUACCGCAUGAGCUCCUGGGGCUGCAUGGCUCGGGGAGGAAAGCUCCGUUACAGGAGCGCUUGAAGAGGGGCUUGCGGCGUAUCAGCUAGUUGGCGAGGUAACGGCUCACCAAGGCGACGACGCGUAGGGGGUCUGAGAGGACGGCCCCCCACAUUGGGACUGAGAUACGGCCCAGACUCCUACGGGAGGCAGCAGUGGGGAAUCUUGCGCAAUGGCCGAAAGGCUGACGCAGCGACGCCGCGUGCGGGAGGAAGGUCUUCGGAUCGUAAACCGCUGUCGGGAGGGAAGAAAUCUCCAGGGAGGCAAUGCCCUGGAGUUGACGGUACCUCCAAAGGAAGCACCGGCUAACUCCGUGCCAGCAGCCGCGGUAAUACGGAGGGUGCGAGCGUUGUUCGGAAUUAUUGGGCGUAAAGCGCGCGCAGGCGGCCGCAUAAGUCUAUGGGUGAAAUGCCGGGGCUCAACCCCGCGCGUGCCCAGGAUACUGUGCGGCUGGAGACACGUAGAGGCAAGCGGAAUUCCAGGUGUAGCGGUGAAAUGCGUAGAUAUCUGGAGGAACACCGAUGGCGAAGGCAGCUUCCUGGCCUGUAACUGACGCUGAGGUGCGAAAGCGUGNGGAGCAAACAGGAUUAGAUACCCUGGUAGUCCACGCCGUANACGAUGAGUGCUAGGUGUCAGGGGUAUCGACCCCCCUGGUGCCGGAGCUAACGCAUUAAGCACUCCGCCUGGGGAGUA
rnacentral:rRNA from 1 species